rnacentral:ncRNA from 1 species
AGAAUUUCUGAAUCAGGCCGGGACACUGCGUUUCGCCCCUUCGGUCGUACAUCCAGCCGAUUGCCUGAUUCCUUGCAUUAGAGUGAUGUACGGAGCUUAAA